AAUAAAACUCUGAUCGUUUUCUCUUGUCUCUUCUUUUGGUGUUCCUAUUAGCUCACGGUUUGAUUUUUAUUCGUUCUUGUGCUAAUCUUUACUGCUGUUCUUGUGAUGUUUUGUAUGUUGAUCAAAUUUUAGUUUGCCGACGAUUUUUUUAUUCGAUCUCGAGAGCCUUCAAUCUAGCUUUUUCUGAUUUUUGCCGAUCUGCGCCAGUCUUCAUGAUAUCUUAUGCAAUAGAUGUAGCUUUCUGAUCGGCGAACUUCAUAGCUAUAGCGCAUAUCAGAUUUUAAUCUGGUUGAAUUCAGAACCAUGACCAGCAAAUCUUUUCACGUUGAAUGGAGUCAACACAACGAGUCCUUUAUAAAUGACUCUUUUUAAAGGCUGCAUAUGCUGUCACCACAAGAUUUCCUGAAUUUGUUCAUACAAUUGUUAUCCAUGUUGUUUAGUCUUCUCGUCUUUCUUGGCCCUUUGACAAAUCUGAGCUUUUAUUCUCAUUUGGGGCAGCACAUUUUUGUUGUGCAUGAUCAUGUUUUCUCGAUCAAUUCUCCAUUUUGUCGCCAUCGAUUUGGCUUAACUUUUCGUUUGCUCAGGUGUAUUCGUUAAUUGUAUGUCAUUUCUAAACUUGACUAACAUCUGCUGUUGUUUGUCAGAUCUGCCAAGGUUAUGUUUUUGUGCUUGUUAUUUUCCCCUUUUUUUGGUGGCGGUGUUGGGGGGAUUAGAGUACUUGGCUUUCUUUAAUACCCAACAUUUUGUAAUAUAAUACAUAGUCAUCCUGAUAUAUUUUUCCAUCGAGUCUCAAGGGCAUGCAUCAAAAAGAAAGGAUAGAUUAAUGGAGGUUUUCAAAGUCUUUGUCAAACUUUGGUCAGUGCAACCAAGAUAAGUAAUUCCAACAACUCCAGGGGAAUAACAGAAAAAGUCGUAUUUAAUGAAGUAAUCGGUUUGCAACUUUGUUCCUCAAUUGCUUCUGUUCAGCAACUAAACUAAUGGGUCUCUUGUUUUAUCUUUUUAUAUUUUUUUAACUGCUGGGGUAUUUCCGUUAGAUUUUUCUUUUUUAUACAUUCAAAAAAAAUAUUCAGGUUACAAUUCCUGCAUUAGUAAUUAAAUAUCCUUUGAUGGAUGACACUUUAUCUGUCUUAUUCUUUUAAUCACAAGAUAUAUGCUGUUUUCUUAAGUAUAAAUGGUAUGUAAUUUGUUCAAUUUGAGCUUUUUCUCCACAUUUCUACUUAUAAAGCAUCAGUUAAUGAGCUUGCAAUAUGUCUAUUAACUUUUCAAGUCUACAAGUAUAACUUUUCUAUUAUUAUUUCCUUAUUAACCUGAAAGCCUGAAUCUUUAGCAUGUAGUUACUUAAGUAUAUAAGCCGACCUUCUUUCAAGCAUGAUUUUACAUAUUGGAUUGUACCAAUUUGUACCAGAAAUAUACUGUGCCAUAUUGGUGGAGAAUCUAUAUAUAGUAUGAAGGCUUGAUACAGGACUGUACGGACACGUGGUAUGGGUGUUGUGCUGAUUUAGCAUUUUUACCGGCAACAAAUCGUUCCUUAACUACAAUGUAUUGGUUUUACACCCGGCACCAAGAUAUAUUGAUUUCAAGAUUGAAACAUCAUGCGUGAGGAAUACUUAAAAGCAUGUAUUCGUUUGAGAAAAUUCUUGACAAUCAAAAGAACUGUUUUCUGGAAAGGCAAACCCCCAGAUGCUUCUGUCUGCUCUAUUUUGGGUCGCAACAAAGAUGAGGUCCAUAGUUCGAUCCCAGCUUGUCUCAAUUUGUAUAGAUCAAUCAAGGUGAUGAUGCUGCUAAGGAAGAAAUAACAACGAAUCCAGGAGGCGAUUUCUUCGUGGACGCUGAGGUCACUAAUGGAGUGUUAUGCUGCAUCGUCCUUUUAGUUGAGGACCAACAUGACCAAGAGCUGAUAAUUCCACAGCUUUAUGGACUUAGAGCAGCUUUCAGUGGAUUUGCCGUGUUGAUCAAAGAGCACAAAUUUCGCCAGGUUUCAUAUUCCAAUGAUAUGCACCUGAAUUUCCGAGAAGCUUGCUCCUUCAUCUUAAAUUGCUAAAGGUCCAGAGUCCGAUCCCCACUCAGCUCCAGAGGAGAAAGUGAGAUCUGGCGGUUAACAAGUAAUGAAUUCAUCAUUUAAUAAAUCUGUAAAACCAGGAAAGUGAUUUUUUUUUCUUGCUAGGCUUGCAUUUUUGAAUACUAUACAUGUUGGCCAAUGAAUAUCAACCUGACUCAAUUUUGACCCAAUACAGCCCGACAUGGGUUCCAUUAAUUUGAACUAUCAAUCAAUGCCAUUCACUUCUAAAUAGGUAGUCAGUGGAUUUAAUUUCAUCUA